AUGGAAUGGUGGGGGGCAGCGCGCGCCGCGAUCCACUUAGCCGUGACCGCAGCGUGGAAUCCGGCCUGGUUGAGCCAGAAAAGCUCGAACCGAAACCGUGGCGGGACGGCCGGGGGGGGGGGAGGGGGGGCAUUCGGCGGCGGUGGAAAGGAGGAGAGGGACGUGAGAGGAAGUAAAGUGAUAAUCUUGGGUAAAAGCGCAGGCUUGGAGAAGUUUGGAACUGUCAAGCAUGUUUCUCUGAACUCCCUGGCAUUCGAUGAGUACAUGUACCUGUUCAAGACACUCGCAUUCGGAAAGGCACUGCGGAAAAACAUGAGUGCCCAUUUCUGGCUGUACAAGUUGAAGGGUGCCAGAGAUUCUGUCAAGAAGAACAUUUCUUGCUUUGGAGCCCAUCCACAGGUGCUUUUCAACCGAGGUCACGCAGUGCACCUAAUCGGCCGCUACAUUUUAACUCCUGCUGCUCCAUCAGGCAUUGUAAACUCUGCUAUUGGUAUGGCUAAUGUUCCAGAGGAGCAGGGUAUUGGUCUACGCUUCAGUCAGGGAAGAAGCGUCCAUGACAAGCCUGAAACAUCCUUGUCAGGGAAGAAGCGUCCAGGUUUAUUUGCCUAA
rnacentral:rRNA from 1 species